rnacentral:lncRNA from 1 species
CAUACCCAAGUGUUUAUUACAAACCAGAAUGAAUAAAAAUUUCAUCAGAAAAAGUAAAACAAAAGUACAACCAAAGGAGAGCCUGACUCAGACUUCCUGUCUGAAAUAUGAGAAAAACCAUCUCAAAGACCACUGAUCCAAAGCUUUGCUCCAAUCAGAGUGUGUCAAAGUUCCAUAAGCGCCUCAAUGGGACUCCGGGCAAUGCAUAUACCCAAAUUGUAUUAUCAGAAUGGGGACAAGUGCACUGUAGAAAGGCCAACCCUCAAGUGUCCAAGUUCAGAGGGAGCUCAAUGGGUCCUAAGGCAAGGCUCACAAGAGUGGGACAGAACUUAAAGACUAAGAAAGAGUGCAAGUGCAGAAGUAAUCUUGAGGAACCAGGGAAGUAAAGGAAAAGGGAAAGGGGUGAUUGGAAAUAGUUACAGAAUUAACAACUUCACAUAAAAAGGUUCAGGGGUUUAGAUUGGUUGCGGAGAGCUCUUGUGCUUGGGCAUCGGUUGAUUAUGGGCAUGCACAUCAAUAGGUAAUGUUGUUAUGCUCCUAAAACUAACUAGAAUAUAAAGUAUACAAUGAUAACAUGAGGUUUUGCUCCCAGGGGGAUCAAGUUUGAGUAUGGACAACAAUACAUUAAUGUUGUCAUGCCUGAAACAACCAUUAGUGUCAAACAUAUUUAGGAUACACAAUAGAGGCAGAAUAGGCAGAAAGAGAAAUGCUAAACAAGUACUGCCUAAACACAUAGGUAGGCAGCCAGAAGGAAAAAGAUGUUAAAUUAACGCAUAGUUGUGAUGCCGAAUCUUAAUUAGAACAUACCUAUUCAAAGGAAGCAAAUAAAGAAAGAAGUAGGUAACAUGACUUGCAAACAUGCCGCAAGUAAUAGGAGAGAAUACUUUUGAGUAUGAGUAAGUCCAAAAACACUAUGAGUGUUGUCACGCCUCUUUUUUUACCACACCAUCCCGGAAGGUAGUGUAUAAGAGAGUUUUUCCAAUUUAAGUGACAUUAUUCGAAAUGAGAUUAUUUAUUCAAUUCUUUUUAGAGUCGCCACUUAGGAUGGUUUGUUUUGGUGUCCCGAGUCACCAGUUUAUUUUAAAUCCCAAAUAGAGGAAAAUUCAGCUUUCCUUUUGAAGUCUGCGAACCAGAAAUUUUGAAUAAGAAAUUAUGUUAACACGAGGGAAGGUGUUAGGCACCCCCGGAUCCCGUGGUUCUAACACGAUCGCUUAAACUAUUACAAUUGACCUAUUAUCUGAUUUUAAUACAUGUUUUAACCUAUGGUGUAUUUUAACUUGUUAGCCUCUUUUAAUUAAUUUUAAUAAGAUUUGAACAUCAUCUAAAACGCGUCUUUGGACCACGCCACAUGAAAUGCACCCGCAGUCCGAGACACAUU